GAUUAAGCUAGAAAGAGCUUAUGGUGGAUGCCUUGGCAUUCAGAGUUGAAGAAGGACGCGACCGGCUGCGAAAAGCCGUGGGGAGCUGCUAAAUAAGCGUAGAUCCGCGGAUAUCCGAAUGGGGCAACCCACCAGUGUGGAGCACUGGUAUUAUGUGGUGAAAUAAGUAGCCAUGUAAGAACAAGCAGGAGAACUGAAACAUCUUAGUACCCUGAGGAAAAGAAAUCAAAAUGAGAUUCCCUUAGUAGCGGCGAGCGAAAGGGGAAGAGUCCAAACACUUAAAGUGUAAGUCUGUAGACGUUGCUUUAAGUGGGUGUAGGAUAGACUGUCUAAAAACUACAGUUUUUGGCUGACUUAAAUUUUUUACCGAGUCGAAUGAACUGGGAAGUUCAACCGUAGGAGGUAAUAGUCCUGUAGACGUAAGGUAAAAGAAGUCAGAGAAUUAUCCAGAGUAUCACGAGACACGAGAAACCUUGUGAGAAUAUGGGAGGACCACCUUCCAAGACUAAAUACUCCUGAAUGACCGAUAGUGAACAAGUACCGUGAGGGAAAGGUGAAAAGAACCCCGGAAGGGGAGUGAAAUAGAAACUGAAACCAUAAGCUUACAACAAGUAGGAGGGCUAUUUAAAAGCCUGACUGCGUACUUUUUGUAUCACGGACCGGCGAGUUACUAAUCGUAGCGAAAGGUUAAGUCAUAGAGAUGAAGCCAGAGCGAAAGCGAGUCUGAUAAGGGCGGAAGUUAUGAUUAGUAGACCCGAAACCGAGUGAUCUAUCCAUGACCAGGGUGAAGCGAGUGUAAGAGCUUGUGGAGGCCCGAACC
rfam:Halanaerobium saccharolyticum subsp. saccharolyticum DSM 6643, type strain:DSM 6643, WGS project CATI01000000 data, contig: rep_c253